GAUGAACGCUAGCGGCAGGCCUAACACAUGCAAGUCGAGGGGUAGAACACUUCGGUGUUUGAGACCGGCGCACGGGUGCGUAACGCGUAUGCAAUCUACCUUGUACAGGGGAAUAGCCCAGAGAAAUUUGGAUUAAUGCCCCACAGUAUAUAACCUUCACAUGUUGGUUAUAUUAGAGUUCCAACGGUACAAGAUGAGCAUGCGUCCCAUUAGUUAGUUGGUAAGGUAACGGCUUACCAAGACGAUGAUGGGUAGGGGUCCUAAGAGGGAGGUCCCCCAAACUGGUACUGAGACGCGGACCAGACUCCUGCGGGAGGCAGCAGUGAGGAAUAUUGGUCAAUGGGCGCAAGCCUGAACCAGCCAUGCCGCGUGCAGGAAGACGGUCCUAUGGAUUGUAAACUGCUUUUAUACAGGAAGAAACCCUCCCACGUGUGGGAGAUUGACGGUACUGUAGGAAUAAGGAUCGGCUAACUCCGUGCCAGCCGCCGCAGUAACAC
rnacentral:rRNA from 1 species